UACGUAGGGGGCAAGCGUUGUCCGGAUUUAUUGGGCGUAAAGAGCGUGUAGGCGGCUUUGCAAGUCCGUUGUGAAAACUCGAGGCUCAACCUCGAGACGCCGGUGGAAACUGCAAAGCUAGAGUCCGGAAGAGGCGAGUGGAAUUCCUGGUGUAGCGGUGAAAUGCGCAGAUAUCAGGAGGAACACCAAUGGCGAAGGCAGCGCGCUGGGACGUGACCGACGCUGAGACGCGAAAGCGUGGGGAGCAAACAGG
rnacentral:rRNA from 1 species